AUGACCAGGAAGAAGAAAGUGCGCAGGAGAAGCACUGGUCCUGAUUCGGUUGCUGAAACCAUCAAGAAGUGGAAGGAGGAAAACCAGAAGCUCCUGCAAGAGAAUGGAUCCCGGAAAGCACCGGCCAAGGGUUCCAAGAAAGGGUGCAUGGCAGGGAAAGGAGGUCCAGAGAAUUCAAACUGCGCUUACCGCGGUGUGAGGCAGAGGACGUGGGGCAAAUGGGUUGCUGAGAUCCGUGAGCCCAACCGUGGCAACCGGCUGUGGCUUGGUUCAUUCCCUACCGCAGUCGAAGCUGCACGUGCAUAUGAUGAUGCGGCAAGGGCAAUGUAUGGCGCCAAAGCACGUGUCAACUUCUCAGAGCAGUCCCCAGAUGCCAGCUCUGGUUGCACGCUGGCACCUCCAUUGCUGAUGUCUAAUGGGGCAACUGCCGCAUCACAUCCUUCUGAUGGGAAGGAUGAGUCUGAGUCUGCAGGGACCGUGGCACAUAAGGUGAAAAAAGAAGUGAGCAAUGAUUUGAGAAGUACCCAUGAGGAGCACAAGACCCUGGAAGUAUCCCAACCAAAAGGGAAGGCUUUACAUAAAGAAGCGAAUGAACUCGGGAUAGCGCUUAGGGUUGGCAUUAAAUUGAGGCAUAUUAGGAAGUCAUAUUUCUGCAGGUGUUACUAUAUAUUGAAUUACUGUAGAAAGGUGCAGCCACACAAACUUACUGAUCUGUGCCCACAAAACAGAGUGGCUGAAAGCAGCCUCGCAGUGGAAGACAGAGGUCAAUCCACUGGCCAUACAAGACAAAGUAGUUCAUCAUCGUUAAGAAGUGAGCCGAUUCCAACUAUUUAUUCCGAACAGCACAAGAGCAUGCUUGGAGAUGGCGGACCCAUUAGCAUUCAGAAAGAACAUCCAGCUUCGAGACAAUUAAAGGUUAAGCAAUGCCCGGUUCAGAAACUUCAGAGACUGCCAGAUGGGUACCAUCCUGAUUUUGACAAUGACCAUUUAUAUUCUGCCAACAAGCUCCUGGAGUCCUGGUCUAAAUCUCAUGGCUCUGUUCUUGUUGAUGAUAAGGAACAUAUAUUAAAGACCAUCUUAUUCUCAAUGGUUGUGUUGGCUGAUGCUCGCCAACCUUUUCUGAUUGUCACUACUACUGCUUCUCUCUCCUUAUGGGAGGUUCAGUUCAAUAAAUUAGCACCACAUAUCAAUGUUGUUGUGCAUGAUGGGCGGGCAGACAUGCUCAAGUUGAUUCAAGCUCAGGAGUUCAACGAGAAUGGAAGCCACAUAACGUCACAAGUUCUCUUAUCCCAUCCUGAGGCUAUCUUAGAGGACAUUGAGCCUAUUGCACGUAUUGGUUGGGAGGCAAUCAUAGUUGAUUAUUAUCAACACUUGGCUCUAAAAUAUCUGGAACAGCUGAAGCAACUUUGUACUGGUUUUAGAGUGUUGCUUGUGAGCUCCCCAAUUGAGGAUAUCCCUGAGUACAUGGACAUGCUAGCUUUCCUUAAAUCAGGACAGAAAGAUAAUAGUGGCUAUGUUGACACUGCUGAUGCCCUUGAGAUGUUAAAAAGAAGAUUUGCACAUCAUAUUGCAUAUGAGCGCAAAGAAGAUUCUUCAAAAUUUCUAGAGCACUGGGUUCCUGCUUACAUUUCACAAGUGCAGCUAGGUGUCUAUUGUUCCAUUCUGCUUUCAAAUUCAUCUGUCCUCCAGUCUAGGAAGAAAGCUAAUAGUGUUGAAGCUCUUCGGGACAUUCUCUUGUCUCUCUCAAAGUGCUGUAAUCACCCUUACCUCCGUGAAUGUCUGGAAGCUUCACCUGUCAACAAUCCUGAUAUGACUGAAACAGUAGAUAUUGGAGUGCAUGCAAGCGGCAAGCUACUACUUCUUGACAAAAUGCUUAAAGAGAUCAGCAACAGGAGGUUGAGAGUCAUUGUUCUUUUUCAGUCUGGUGGAGCAGGUGCAAACCCAAUGGGUGACAUUCUGGAAGGUGUUGUGUGUCAUAGAUUUGGCCCUGAGUCUUAUGAACGUGUCAAAUGUGGUGCGGUGAUGUCAAGUAAACAGGCGGCAAUUGAUAUGUUCAAUGACAAGACCAAGGGGAGAUUUGUUUUACUGAUUGAAAGUCGUGCAUGCCUCCCAAGCAUUAAGCUACUAUCAGUUGAUGCAGUCAUCAUAUAUAGCAGCGACUGGAACCCAUCUAAUGACCUGAAAGCUCUUCAAAGAAUCAACAUAGAGUCACAACUUAAGUAUGUGAGCAUUUUCCGAUUGUAUACUCCUUUCACAGUUGAGGAGAACAGCUUUGUGCUUGCAAAGCAGGGCAGGCUUAUUGAUAAUAACAUCCAGGAUGUAAUGCACACUUCAAGCCAUUCCUUACUCAGUUGGGGUGCACAAUUUCUCUUCACCAGAUUUGAUGAGCUUAUGCAAGAUAGGUAUUUAAGCAAGCAUUCUGAAAGGGGCACCAGUUUUAUGGAUGAAGUGAUAUUAGAGUUCGUAACAAAAUUACCCACAAAUACAGAAGACAGCUCCAAAAUAAACAGUGUGUACAUAUCGAAAGCUAAUAUGAGUGGGGAGUUUUAUUCAAGAAGCAUUACUGUAAUUGGUGAAAAGGAGGGAAUGUCUAUGCUGGAUGGGGAUCCAUCUGUAUUUUGGUUAAAUUUACUGGAUGGAAAAUCUCCUUGUUGGAGCUAUAUAUCUGAGCUAACACAGUCAAUCAAUGGAAUGCUACAGAACAUAGAAGAACCAGCCCAAGUUGCUGCCGAAGAAACUGAUGAAGCUACCAAUGUGUCAGUCACACAGCAAAGAGAAUGUCAUGUGUCUGUCACACAGCAAAGAGAAUGCCAUGUGUCAGUUGAUGUAUUUCCCAACAUGGCUGUGGAGAGAAGAAUUGAUUUAGUGGAUGAUGUCUUCUCUUUGAGAGAAAAUAAUAUCAUUCAUAAGCAACAAGCUGAGAUAUCAAAUUUAGUGACACACUCACAGCAUAAACAAAUCCUGAGAAUUGGAGCAACUCAGAUAUGUGGAUCGAGCAUGCAUAUGCAACAAUUGAGAACUCUGCCUGCCCAACAAAGUUUAGCAACCUUGCCCCAUCCACCUGCAGAAGCAGUGCCAGCAGGUAUUCCUGGCAUGGAGGCCACGACAUGUUUACAGUCAAUGCAGUAUCAACCUACAGAGGCAGAAUGGGGAGGUAUACUGGGCGCAUUAGCAGCCCACGGUUCGCAGCCUGAAAUGCAACCAUCAACCUCAAUGCAGGAUGUUUUAUUUGAAAAGACUGAUCUGUCUGGCAUGCCUUUGCUAGGAAGUAUGAAUGCUCGUCAAAGUGUAGAACCUUCAUUGGAUCUGCACGCAGGAGAAGAACCAGCAGGCACUUUGGGCAUGGUGACAACUGAUCAGCUGCAGUCUGAAAUACAACAAUCAGCCACAGUACAUGAUCGGCCUGCAGAAGCAGAAGGAACAAGUACAUUAGGCACCAGGGCACUUCAGAAUUUGCACCCUGAAAUGCAAUCAUCAACCGUAAUGCAUCAUGUCCCUCUUGAAAGAGCACACUCUGAAGGCAGGAGCCAAACAGGAUUUCAGCCAAAUACAUCACCUGGUCCUGAGCAGCUCAGCCAACUCCUUUUUUUCGAGGAAGAGCUCAACCAAGUCCUAUCUGCUAGUGACCAGCCACAGGAAGAUAUGUCGAAAAUGUACAAACAUCACAUCAAUUUGCUUAGAGAAGCCCAUGAACAGAAGAUAUCACAACUUCAAAUAGAGCGUUACCGGGAAAUAGAAAAUGUGAACAGAAAGUAUUACUCAUUACUCCAAAAAGAAGAUCCCACUUUACCUCACAGCCAGAUGGGACUUGUUGAUAGCUACAAGGAAGCUUCUGUAAACAAAUCACCAGCUCAAGAUUUUCUAGGGGAAGUUGCACCAUCAUCUGCAGCUCAAGGGAGAUCUGAGAGGCCUGCAAUGGUGCUGCCACCUAAGUCUUCACCAGCUCAAACCACAGCAUCACCAGGGUGUAGGAGCACAUUCACCUCCUGCCGCUUCACCUCCAGCAGCACAUGGCCAAGUGGUGACAUGGAGGACUUUGCAUCGACAAGUCUAGGUGUGAUCUGCAGCAUGACACGAGAUGGGAAAUGCUUCUCUUCAGAACCAUAUCCGCGCUCCGCCAUGAGGGUCUCGGAGACCAAAGGGUCCACGUCGCACCUGAUAUCGAGGAAUGCUACAGCUAGCUGGACCACGCCUUCAAGUUGCUGA
rnacentral:rRNA from 1 species